UUGCUUUUUACAAAAAAGACGAACCAUUUUUAGUUAUUAAUUUUUGUAUCUCAAAUGGGUUCUGUUGAAUCUGUCCCAAAAAAAAUCUAUCCAUGAAUUUGUUGUCAAGGAUAGUAAAGGAUCGGAAGUUGAUCUAAGCUUGUAUGAGGGAAAGGUUUUGUUGGUCGUUAAUGUAGCUUCCAAAUGGUUUUGAGGUUUUGGCAUUUCCUUGCCACCAGUUUCUUAAGCAAGAACCUGGGUCAAGUGAAGAUGCUGCACAUUUUGCAUGUACAAGAUUCAAAGCUGAGUACCCCAUUUUUCAAAAGGUAUGUGUGAAUGGACCAAAAACAGCACCAGUGUACAAACUUUUAAAAAGCAAGUAAAGCUUCAAUUUGUGGUAAUGGUAUUAAGUGGAACUUCACAAAGUUCCUUGUUGGUUAGGAUGGGAAAGUCAUUCAACGAUACGGUACAGGAACUCCUCUGUCCAUUGAGGGUGAUAUCCGAAAGGCAUUGGACGAGAUGUAACAAAUCAUUAUAUUUAGGAUUUUUCACUUUUAUUUUUUCUCAUUUAUGUUUGUUGGACAUGGAAGUUAUUAUUUUCGUUCUUUAAUUGAUAUUAUUUUGGUCGGUACAUAUAUUUUGUUGUAAUGCCAACAUCAUUAACAACACAUUCGAUAUUAUGAAAACUUCGUCUUCA